GGUUGUGGGCAGAAAUAAACCUGGCACCGCACCUCCGUGGGAAGAUGAGCCCUCACCUCGCUGAGAAUGUGCAAUUCAGCACCUCAAGUGUUUUGCAGACUGGUUAUAAUGGGCGCAUCCUCAGCGUGUGAUCCUUCCGAGCAAAGGAGCCAGCAGGAUGCCUGCCCAGCAGGGAAAAGCAACUUUCUGUCUUAUUUGAAUCUUGUUCUCACUGCAAAGCCACCGCGGUGCUGGAGCUGGAGCAGAGCUGUGGUCCCCAGGGCUGCAACAGCAGCCGGUGCUGGUUUAUACACUCAGGUGGUUUGCUGCUCUUCAUCCUGCCGUGAUUCAUAGUGGGGAGGUGCAGGUAUUUCUGAGCAGAGGCAGCUGACGGAGAUGCACCGGCACCGUUGUUUGGGAGCCAAGAGCGCAGCCGGCUACUCCCAACCUGGGCUUGAUGGCGCAGAUCAAAGGCCAGCGUUUACCAUCAAACAGGAUUAGGUCAUUGCUUCGUACAACUUGGAAUAAACCCGAACACCGCCGGGAUUUCUGUUUGAUGGUAGAAACGCAUCCUGCUGAUUUUAUAAUCCCCCGUGUCCUAACAUCUUCAGGCGAACGGAUCUCCAGGCAUUUGCGGCCAAGAUCUCCCAAAGCAGUGCAAGAAACCCUCAUAGAGAUGGAGAUUAAAGCCGCGUUGGCAAGGAUGCAUCAACACUAACCAGAGAGGCAGGUGAGCAAUGCCAGACCUCAAGUAAACCCUCUCCACUUGAGACUUUGAAAACUUGUCCAGACAAAAGGCUGGUGUAAACGUUACAAGGAGAAAUCCUGCACUUUCUCAGGGAGAGUAUGUGACAGGCUUGCAGAAAAAGCAAUAUAAUCCAGAUCUGCUACGAGAAGAACCCACUCCGCUGUAAAGGCUGACGCUCUGCUGUGCUAAAGCUCAAGAGAUUUGCAGUUUCCCAGCCUCGUUGUCCAUGUGCAAAGGGCAAAACUCUGCUCUUGCGUGGGCUGAGAGGAGCUGUGUGUGACUCAUCAGGAACUUUGGCCAUUUGCACAGAAAAAUCAGCCCUGACCUGAGCUGAAUCAUCUGAGUUCCACUUUGCUGUGUCUGUGGCCACCACGAGGGCAUCCUGAGUUGUGUCCUGCUGGGGCCGCGUGAGCAAACCCAGCCUUGAAGCUGCAGGGAUUCCUCCUGGGAUGUUGGGGAGCAGGUUAGUCAAACCCUUGGGGGAUUUCUAUGGGGAACAGCAUUUCCUAAUCCUAAACAUUUAAAUAUUGGUAAAUUAUAAAAUACAAUCAUGGAAUGGUUUGGGUUGGAAGGGAGCUCAAAGCCCAUCCAGUGCCACCCCUGCCAUGGGCAGGGACACCUCCCACUGGCUCAGGGGCUCCAAGCCCCAUCCAACCUGGCCUGGAACCCCUCCAGGGAUGGGGCAGCCCCCACUGCUCUGGGCACCCUGGGCCAGGGCCUCCCCACCCUUAAAAUAAAAGAGAUUAGAUAAAAGAAAACCCCAUUUCUCAGGCAGUUCCUCCACCUGCUUUCUUUCCAGCUUUCUGCUGGGUACUUGCAUGAUGGUUCUACCACGCACAUCUUUGUGUUCCCACCACUUGGGCGCUGCUGUUCACACCUGAAUCUUUCAAGCAAUCCUUAUAACAAACGCCCGGUGUUCAAAACCCCUGAGAGCUGGCUAACAGAGAUUAUCAGAUCAUCUUUCUUUGUCUCCUCUCCUCGCCAGCUCCAAUCCCCUCUGGUAAUGGCCAAUUUUACAAUUAUUAAUAUGUACAAAUACCCCUUAAAUUAGAAGAUCCUCCAACAGGCAGCUGCAUAGCAAAGGAUUUGCUUAAUCCGGUAAUAGGAGCGGUGCUGGCUGGAGAUGCCUGGCAAUUUUGGCAUUAGCUAAAAGAGAGAGAUUGUGCUGUGGGAAAACUCAUUUUCUUCACCAAACUACCUUGUCCCACCAUAAUUCACAUUUAAAACCACAGUAUUGAAGGCUCUUCUGCCCUUUGCUGGUGCAGGAUCCACGCAGCACUGCGUGAGAGCCUCUGUCCCACCAAGUCAGAAGAAAGGAGUGAUGCUCAAACCUGGAAUAGCUGAGACGUUUGAGUGUCUGUUCACUGCAAAGGGAGACUUGGCCUUGACCGAGACACAAAGCAACUCACAGAGUUAAUAUUUUAUGCAAAACGAAAAAUACAUCAAAAAAGAAAAUAGCAUGGACUGAAGAGAUGCAGCACUGGCGGAAAGCUCAACCUGGAGAAGAGUGGUCCUACCUCAGAGGCUGGAUCCAUCCUUGAAGCAUCUGGAGCUGCUCAGAGAUACACCACAAAGGUGUUUUUGCUUUGUGAAAGACCAAGAGGUCAAUAGGGUGGUGGCACACAUGUCCCUCCCAAGGAUAUAAUCUUCCACCAAAAAUAGACCUGCCAGGGAAUUUGACCCAGGGGGCAAGGAAGAAAGGUUUGGAGGGGCUCAUGCAUGGAUGGAAGUCCCAGGAUGGCUGCACAUGCCAGCUCGCUCCUCCUGGCACGUGCAGCCAAGCUUAUAACCAUCCCUGUCAUCACUGCUUGGAAUGGAAGGACUCCUGUGAGCCACUGCCUCCACUGUUUUGUUCCUUGAAGAACCCUUUCAUCCUGUUAUUUUUCCCCACAAAGCUACCUCAUUAUCUUCUCCCCUUCUGGGUCCUUCACAUAAUGUGCAUUGGAGGGCGUGAGAAAUCCCAAUGGUGCUCCUCAAAGUGGGACAACAUCCCUUGAGUGUCUCUGCAGCAAGAACAACGAAGCAGGAAGCCUUGAAAAAAAGGAGAAAGCAACUUUCAAUCCAGACACCAGUGGAUAUUAAAUCCAAACACGUCAUAGUAAUGAAUUCGUCUUGGAGUGCGUUGGGUGAGAGGAUAAGUAGAUGCAAAGUGGGGAUGAUAUUCUGGCAGCCGUGUGCAACUCAUUAAAUCGAUUGGCGGGAGCCAGCGUGUUUCAUGCAAAGAUGUUUAAUUUCUGUUUGGGCAGACAGAUGAUCUGAGGUAUCUUGGCGUGUCGCAGCCUGUGUUCGUAGUCUUGGCUUAUCUCAAACAAGCGCGGAUAGUUUUAUCUCUGAGUCAGCGGUGACUCAGACUUUAAGAUGCUGCAUUUUUUGCAGCUAUCUUACACGGAACAUAGAGAAAAGGAGUUUGAAUGCUUAAUAAGAGCCAUCAAAUAGUUGUGAAUCUUUAAUUUAAGAUGUAUUUAUGCCAGCUGAAUACGGUAUUUUAUGCCUGCAUAAACCUGUGUGAAGAUACUAGCGUGCCAGCUCGAGGUAUGAGCUGGAUUAGCUCAUUUACCCUAAUACUGGAACAUAUUGCAUGUUGCCCUCUUGUUGCUUGUAAAUGAGACGGUUAAAAUAAACAAAAUUUGGGGAGAAGUAAUCAUUUGGAUGGUUUCGCCCACCCGAAA